CAACAGAGCAAGACUUUGUCUCCAAAAAAAAAAAAGUAAAGAAAGGAAACCUAGGUUUUAGUCCCAGAUUUUCCACUGACAUGCUCUGUGACAUAGGCCAAGUUGCCUCCUAUGUCAGGGUUGGAGUAUAGAAGCCUCCUGUAAGGCAUCCUAUGACUCUAAAUCUAGACUCUGUGGAAGGCCAUGAAUCCCUAUGGUAGAGCACAACCACUGUUUGCCCUUCUCCCACAUUUCACCUCCAACCAUGGGGGAGCCGGUGGACAGAUUUCAUGUACUUACACAAGCACUGAUAGCCUCUCUGUCUUUCCUUCUUUACACCCUUGUUACUCUUGCACAUGUGCGUGGAUGACAUGUAUGAGAGUAUUCAUUACAGCAUUGUAACAACAGAUUAUUGAAAACACAUGUGUCAGUCAUAGAAGACUGGAUUAAUUAUGGCAUGUUUAUGCAGCAGUUAACUGUCAAUACAUUAAAGCUACAUGUAUUUACAUGAGUAAGUCUCCCAGACACAGUAAGUUAUAGAAGAAUAUUUAUAGUUAGAUAUAAUUUGAAUAAAAUUAAAAUGUCAUUUUAAUUAAGUAAUUUAAGAGCCUGUAUAUAGGUAUAAACGAAGAAAAACAUACAUAAGAUUAAGAAAAUUUAGGAUAAUGGUUCUCUCUGGAGAGGGAAGAAAGGAAAUAGGAUCAGAGAGAAGUAAACAUAUCUAUAAUGUUUCAUUUCUUAAGCUGAGUGUGUGGGCAGACAUGUUUAUUAUAUUCUCUCUAAUUUUGCUUAUUUGAAAUACUUCAAAAUAAUCAUUAGAGAAAAACUUUGUGAAAUAUUUAUAAAGCAAGCUUAAAUAUAAUAGAGCAGUAGGGGUAGCACUUCUGGUUAAGACCAAGUGAAGAGAUCAGCGAAUCCUUUUCCAAAAAAGCAACUAUAAAACUGGACAAAAUUGACAAAACAGCCAUUUCAGUGUUCUGGAUGUCUGUGAAGGGACAGUAAUCUGAGACACAUUUAUGCUUUGAAAAACUGCCAGAGUUCAGGUAAGAACAAUGGAAAUUUGUGGUUUAGCAGGGUGCUGCUUCCCAAACUCCCCAAGCUAUGCUGCGUGGAGUUCCUGCCAGUGUGGAACAGGCUGCAAGGACUGGCAGUUUGCUCUGUGUGAUGGAAAGAGCUGUUUCUGUUUGCAGUGGUGACUGACACAGUAUCCAGUGUCAUUGUCUUCACAGAGGCAGGCUAGGAGAGGAAAGCCAGUGACUGGGCAGUUCCUAGGAAACCAGUCUUACUAAAAAGAAGUGGGGAAAAGAACAUAGAACAGUAACAAAUUAAGUGGAGACAUUCUGGUUGCAUGCCACAGUGAAAAUAGAUUUCAUGUGUUUAACCCAGUCUGUUACUAAAUAAAAGUGAACAAGCAGAAAAGGCAACACCACCAACUUUAAGGGGGAAAAUAUCCGAAUCCAGAGUUGCUACAAUAUGUUGUCUAAAAUGUUCACUUUUCAACAGAUUGUAAGACAUGCAAAAUAUAGAGAUGUGUGACUCAUUCAGGAAAACAAAAGUCUAUAGAAACUUUCCGUGAAUGUCUCUAGAUAAUGGAUUUAGCAGAGAAAAACUUCAAAGCAAUGAAUAUAAAUAUGUUCAAAGACUAAAGGAAACUAUUUAAAAAAUUAAAGUAUGACAAUAAUGAGUGGUAGCAGUGAGUCAACAAAUAGAGAUUCUCAGUAAAGAACAUAAAAAUUAUUUAAAAGAGACACAUAGACAUUCUGAAAUUGGAGAGUAUAAUUUUGGAAAUGAAAAAUUCACUAGAGGACUUCAACGGCAGAUAAAAAAUAGUAUAGGGAAGAAUCAAUUGAAGGAAAAUGAACAGAGCCUCAGAUCAUUGUGGGACAGCAUCAGAUACACCAACAUAAUAUCAGAUUCAAAGAUAUACAAAGCAAAAACUGACAGAAUGGGAAGGAGAAACAGACAUUUCAACCAUUAGAGUUGGAGAUUUUUAGCACUCUACUCUUAGUAAUUGAUAGAAUAGCCAGAUAGAAAAUUAGCAAGCAUAUAGAAAACUUGACCAACACCAUUAACCAACUUGACCUAGCCAAUGUAUGUAGCACAUUCUACAUACUGACUGGAGCACACGUUCAUUUCAAGCACACAUGGAACAUUCUCCAGGAUAGACCAUAUGGUUGGCUAUAAAACAAGUCUGAAUAUAUUUUAAAAGAUUGAAAUUGUACAAAGUAUAUUCUUCAACCACAACUAAAGAAGAAAAUCUGGGAAAUUCCCAAGUAUUUGAAAUUAAGCAACACAUGUCUAAAAUAACACAUGGGUCCAAUAAAAAAUCAAAAGGAAAAUGUGAAAACAUUUUGAACCAAAUGAAAAUGAAAACACAUCAGAAUUUUUGGGAUGCUAGGAAAGCAGUACUGAGAUGAAAAUUAAUAGCUUUAAAUAUCUAGGUUAAUAAACAAAGUUCUAGAAUCAAUAAACUAAGUUUUGCCUUCAAAAACUAUAAAAAGAGGAACAAACAAACUCCAAACCAGUAGAACAAAGGAGUUAUAAUGAUUAGAGGAGAAAUAAAUGAGACAGAAAAGUUAUAAAGUCAAUGAAACCCAAAAGUUGGUUCCUUGGAACUAUCAAUAAAAUUGAUGAACCUUUAGAUAGAAUGACCGACAAUAAAAAAAGAAGACAGUUUACCAAAAUCACAACUAAAAAAGGACAUCACUACUAACUCUACAGAAACUUAAAGGAUUAUAAAGGAAUAUUGUGAACAACUUUAUGGUAACUAUGCCUGGGGCCCCCAUGACCAUCCACAGGUUCAGUGAUUCACCAGGAGGACUCAACACAUAGUCAUACUCACAGUGAGUCACUCUUAUGGUAAUGUAAUCCUCCCCAAAUCCGUUUUCCCAGAUGUCACCCAAGGGCCAACAUUGUAAGCAGGCCCUUUGAAGGAUAGUAGUUCAAACCUGCUAUGUUUACUUUUUUCUGUACACUGACAAAUUAGACACCUUAGAUGAAAUGAACAAAAAUAUAUCCUAAAACAUACAGGUUGUCAAAACUGACUCAAUAAAAAGCAAAUCUGAGUAGACCUAUAAUAAGUAAGAAAUUGAAUUGGGGAUUAAAUAUCUUCCUAUGAAAUUUACUGGUGCAGUCUAUCAAAUAUUUAAAGAAAAAAUAAUUCUGAUCCUUCACAAACUUUCAGAAAAUCAAGAACAUUUCUGAACUUAUUCAGUGGAGCCAGUUUUUACCUUCAUAUCAAAGCCAAACAAAGAUAUCCAUGAAAACUAUAUACCAACAGCCCUUAUGAAUGUAGGCAUAAAAAUUUUUUUUAAAUGUAUAGCAAAUAAAAUCUAGUAACAUAUAAAAUGGAUUAGAUUCAUUACUCCAGGAAUGGGAUAUAUGGGGUUUUUUUACAUCUGAAAAUCAGUAAAAUGAAUGAAAAAGGCAACUAACCAUUUUCAGUAGGUGAAGAAAAAGCAUUUGACAAAAUCUCAGUAUCUGUCAUGAUUUAAAAAAAAAAAAAAAAAA